rnacentral:lncRNA from 1 species
AAGAAGCCUGCUGUGUUUGUGGUCAGGUCGUGGUGAGGUGAGAUGCUAACUUGAAAAACAAAAAGAAAAGGAAUCCCAUUUGGAGCCAAGCUGAAGCCACACAGGAGCAACUCAGCAAUACAUAAUGCAAAGGAUUCCAGUGGAUUUGCAAGCAGGAGGAUAAAAUAAGACAGAAAACAGUAGAGAAAAUUCUGGCAUUUCCAUGGAUAUUGACCUUUUAUUCAUGCUACUGCAGGAAUAAUAAUGGUCAGGAACCGGUAAUGUUUAGCUGAAAUCACCGCAUUGCACUUCACAGCUUCCAGUGGAUCCACUGAGGCUUUGGAGAGCUGCUCUUGCUGGACCAGAGUGCUGGCUCCAGGCUGGGUUUCCCACCCAUGAAGGAAAAAAAUGGGCUGAGGAAGGAAAUAAGGCAAUAAAGAACAAGAAAGAUCCAAUUAAUCCCCCAAGAAGAAACAGGAC